UGGGGAGUGGCCAAAUUGGUAAGGCACCUGAUUCUGGUUCAGGCAACUGAAGGUUCGAAUCCUUCCUCCCCAGCCA
rnacentral:tRNA from 2 species